CUCGUAGGCGGUUCGGUAAGUCGGGUGUGAAAACUCUGGGCUCAACCCAGAGAGCCACUCGAUACUGCUGUGACUAGAGUGCGGUAGGGGAGCGGGGAAUUCAUGGUGUAGCGGUGAAAUGCGCAGAUAUCAUGAGGAACACCGGUGGCGAAGGCGCCGCUCUGGGCCGUAACUGACGCUGAGGAGCGAAAGCAUGGGUAGCAAACA
rnacentral:rRNA from 1 species